AGUGAACGCUGGCGGUAGGCCUAACACAUGCAAGUCGAACGGCAGCACAGUAAGAGCUUGCUCUUACGGGUGGCGAGUGGCGGACGGGUGAGGAAUACAUCGGAAUCUACUUUUUCGUGGGGGAUAACGUAGGGAAACUUACGCUAAUACCGCAUACGACCUACGGGUGAAAGCAGGGGAUCUUCGGCCCUUGCGCGAUUGAAUGAGCCGAUGUCGGAUUAGCUAGUUGGCGGGGUAAAGACCCACCAAGGCGACGAUCCGUAGCUGGUCUGAGAGGAUGAUCAGCCACACUGGAACUGAGACACGGUCCAGACUCCUACGGGAGGCAGCAGUGGGGAAUAUUGGACAAUGGGCGCAAGCCUGAUCCAGCCAUACCGCGUGGGUGAAGAAGGCCUUCGGGUUGUAAAGCCCUUUUGUUGGGAAAGAAAAGCAGCAGGUUAAUACCCCGCUGUUCUGACGUUACCCAAAGAAUAAGCACCGGCUAACUUCGUG
rnacentral:rRNA from 1 species